CUGCAACUACUCUUGCUGUUCUGAUUUUGUAAUGAUCAGGACAGGCUAAAUAUUCUCUAUAAUGCACAUGUCCCAGACCUAACUCUUUAUCUACAUAGGUAUAGUCUUAGAAAUGAAGGUGAAAAAU
rnacentral:snoRNA from 1 species